ACGGCCAUAUCACGUUGAAACACCGGUUCUCGUAUGAUCACCGAAGUUAAGCAACGUCGAGCCUGGUCAGUAUCUAGAUAGGUGACCGCUUGAGAGUACUAGGUGCUGUAAG